AUUGAACGCUGGCGGCAUGCUUUACACAUGCAAGUCGAACGGCAGCGCGGGCUUCGGCCUGGCGGCGAGUGGCGAACGGGUGAGUAAUGCAUCGGAACGUGCCCAGUAGUGGGGGAUAGCCCGGCGAAAGCCGGAUUAAUACCGCAUACGACCUGAGGGUGAAAGCGGGGGACCGAAAGGCCUCGCGCUAUUGGAGCGGCCGAUGUCGGAUUAGCUAGUUGGUGGGGUAAAGGCUUACCAAGGCGACGAUCCGUAGCUGGUCUGAGAGGACGACCAGCCACACUGGGACUGGGGCACGGCCCCGACUCCUACGGGAGGCAGCAGUGGGGAAUUUUGGACAAUGGGGGCAACCCUGAUCCAGCCAUGCCGCGUGCGGGAAAAAGGCCUUCGGGUUGUAAAACGCUUUUGUUCGGGAAGAAAUCCUCUUGGCUAAUACCCCGGGGGGAUGACGGUACCGGAAGAAUAAGCACCGGCUAACUACGUG
rnacentral:rRNA from 1 species